GUAAUACUCCAUAGUUCGUAAUUACUGGAAUGUUUUUCGAACGAAAGAUCCGUCGCUUCAGGAUGAGUCUGCGGCCGAUUAGGUAGUUGUUGGGGUAAUUGCCCAACAAGCCUGUAAUCGGUACGGGUUGUGGGAGCAAGAGCCCGGAGAUGGAUUCUGAGACACGAAUCCAGGCCCUACGGGGCGCAGCAGGCGCGAAAACUUUACCAUGCGGGCAACCGUGAUAAGGAAACCCCGAGUGCCAGCACAGGCUGGCUGUCCGCCAGUUUAAACAACUGGCGAAGAAAGGGCCGGGCAAGACCGGUGCCAGCCGCCGCGGUAAUACCGGCGGCUCGAGUGGUGGCCGCUAUUACUGGGCUUAAAGGGUCCGUAGCUUGAUAAUAGGGUCCCUUGAGAAAUCCGCCGGCUUAACUGGCGGGCGUUCAGGGGAAACUUGUUUUCUAGGGACCGGGAGAGGUGAGGGGUACUGCCGGGGUAGGAGUGAAAUCCUGUAAUCCCGGUGGGACCACCUAUGGCGAAGGCAUCUCACCAGAACGGGUCCGACAGUGAGGGACGAAAGCUGGGGGAGCAAACCGGAUUAGAUACCCGGGUAGUCCCAGCUGUAAACUAUGUGCGUUAGGUGU
rnacentral:rRNA from 1 species